rnacentral:rRNA from 1 species
GACGUAGGGCGCGAGCGUUGUCCGGAUUUAUUGGGCGUAAAGAGCUCGUAGGCGGCUUGUCGCGUCGAAUGUGAAAACUCGGGGCUCAACCCCGCGCUUGCAUUCGAUACGGGCAGGCUCGAGUUCGGUAGGGGAGACUGGAAUUCCUGGUGUAGCGGUGAAAUGCGCAGAUAUCAGGAGGAACACCGGUGGCGAAGGCAGGAUCUCUGGGGCCGUAAGCUGACGCUGAGGAGCGAAAGCAUGGGGGAGCGAACAGG